GUAGUAUUCCCUCCAUCCCAAAAUUCUUGUCUUACAUUUGUUUAGAUACGGAUGUAUAUAACAAUAAAAUGUAACUAGAUACAUCCGUAUUUAGACAAAUUUAAGACAAGAAUUUUGGGACGGAGGGAGUACAAA
rfam:Triticum aestivum genome assembly, contig: Triticum_aestivum_CS42_TGACv1_scaffold_562277_7AL